rnacentral:lncRNA from 1 species
ACAAGCGACCACCGACAUUAAUUCCCUUUGGUUUGAGCGAUUUGGGGAAGUCUUUUUUGGGUGAGGAAGAUGAAGUUUGGUUUGGGUGAGGAAGGUCAAGUUUGGUUUUUGGUGACAGACGAACUUGUAUUGAGGAAAUUGGGGUGAAAAUUGGAUUGAAUGCUAUCCAGAUUUUGGUGUUCUUUCACAGGGAGCAGUUUCUGCAACAUGAUUUUUGGUUUUUGAUUUUUGGUCUAAUUUUGCAAUUUGAUAGAGGGGCGAGGGACGAUCGCCGGCGUUGCCAUCGCCGUCGCCGGUGCCAGCGGUCAGAAAAUGGCUCAGAUGCAGUGAGAAGAAGAGUGUGGACUGUAUUAAUUCUUUAAUUUUGGUGGACCACACUUAAUUAAAACAUAACAAUCAUUUUCUUAAUCUCCGUGCCGAAAAGAACGUGACUGCUUUUAACGGGACGGAGGGAGUAAUUAAGAACCCUUAUUAUUUAGCUAAUUGUUACUAUGAUUCGUGGGACGGAAGGAGUACAUUAUAUUUAAAAAAAAUACUACUCCCUCCGUCCCUAAAAUAACUUCCUCUUUUUCCAUUUUGGGACGUCCCCCAAAUAACUUCCUCUUUCUUUCUUUCCAUUUUUGGAAACCUACCCCACCACUAAUAAUACUUUAUUUAUUCUUACUUUUCACUUUUCACCACUCCCAAUACUAAUUAUAACACUUUUCACAACUUCCAAUAAUAAUUAUAUCAUUUUUUUCUCCAUUAUCAAUACACUUUACAACUUUUUAUUAAAACCCGUGCCGUCCCCAAAGAGGAAGCCAUUUCAGGGACGGAGGGAGUAUAUUUAAAAGUUUAUCAAUACACGAGUGUAAAUAGUAAUAAUUAUCUAAUUCCCUGAAAAAUAGUUAAAAAUAAAUUAUGAACUAUAUGGCCUAUGCCUCCGUCAAAUUCCAUUGAGCAGUGGUUGGACGACGGAAUGGGUGCCCCAAUGCGUUUUCCUUUAUUUGUUUUUGUUCUUGUUUCUUAUUUUAUUUUUCUUUUUUUGAGAAAGCGGCCGACGUCUGUUUAUGUUGAGAGAUUUGAUGGAUUCGUUUCGUCGCUUCACUAUUGAACAAUAAAAUUCCAAAUAGUUCUCAUUAUUUAAUGGUAAUGUAUUUUGUCCCUGAUCUCACUAUCUACACUCGAGAUUAAUAUCUUCUUUUAUUGCAAAUAUGAUUUUAAUAUUUGGUUUUUUCCAAUGCACAAUUUGCAUUGAUAAUUGUGACACCAAGUUGGCCACAGGGUUAACAAUGUCUUUUUAAGUGGUCCAUGACUCUCAUGUACAUGCCUUAGCGCACAAAUCACCAUCAAAUUUAUGUAAAUUAAUGGGCAUGAUUAAAGUAGGUUUAAGCUUUAAUUUAUUUAUUAAUCCAAUCAAGCACACGAAGUUUCCUAAACAUAUUAAGAAAAAAUAUAACAUAACAAAGCUCGAAUGAUUUAGUGCUUUAUCCAGCCACUUGCAAUAUAUAAUGAAAACUUAAAUAUUUAUAUGGUAAAUGUACAGUUGAUUGAAUUAUUACUUAGAUAUAAUGUCUCGGUGAUUUUUAUUUAUUUAUUUACUUAAUGAAGUAUUUAACUUGAUCCGAUCAAUUUGGGAAUAAAAUUAGGGGUAAUUGUCCAUAUAUUACAUUACCUUUUCUCAUUUUCUGGAAUUGCACGUCAUCUUUAAAAUUCGUCUCAUAAAACAUAAUCUUUCUUUUUCUUCUGGAACUGCACAUGGUCAGCCAACCACCAACCAGAAAAAUGACGUGGAUGCCGGAAACACCACAUAUAUACGCCGGAAAAAAAAUUAAUUGAUGUGGCAGCCAUAUAGAUUUAUUUUUUUGCUAUUAAAUUCGAAUUUCCAGAAUAUAGAAUUAAGGCAUUAAUUUCUAAAAUCCCCAAUUUUCCCCUAAAUCCCCUAGUUUUACAAUUUCUCCAUUCGCAACAAAUUGUCGAACGGACAGAUCUUUAUCGGCUUGCGUCGAACCCGAUGGUUGGCCUCCUGACAUCGCUGAUCGCAACCUUCCCUCACUAGAUCCCACGAAAACAGCAAUUUCCCAUCACCCCUGCAGUUCUAUCAUAAUCAACAACACGACAACAAUAAAUGCAUUUAAACUAGCCAAAAAAUGAUCAUAUCAACUAAGUUUUCAGCACAGUAGACCCUGGAUAAUCGCUGGAGCUAGGGCAAUGUGGAGCAGAUCGCUGGACGCUAGGCAAUUUGGAGCAGAUCGAAAUUCAAGUCGAACGCUAGGGCAAUUGUAAAAUGGGAAAUUGUAAAAUUAGGAAUUUAGGGGAAAAUUGGAGAUUUGGAAAAUUAAUACCUUAAUUCUAUAUUCUGGAAAUUCGAAUUUAAUAGCAAAAAAAAUUAUAAUUUCCUACAUGGCUGCCACAUCAAUUAUUUUUUUUUUUUUGGCGUGUAUAUGUGGCGUUUCGACAUCCACGUCAUUUUUCCGGUUGGUAUUGGUUGACCAUGUGCAAUUCCAGAAGAAAAAGAAAGGUUAUGUAUUAUGAGGCGGAUUUUAAAGGUGAUGUGCAAUUCCAGAAAAUGGGGAAAGGUAAUGUAUUUAGGGGCAAUUACCCCUUUUAUUUAUAUAUAUUCAUAACCUUCUUUCUCAUUAUUUGUCUUUCUUCAUAUCCGCCGCCCAAGACUCUCCCUUAAAUCUCACCGCCGAUUAAGGAUGAUGAGAAGAGCUGCUGUUUCUGCAAUUGAUCUCAUUCAUAGAAGAGGUUUUCUCAAUCGAUGGUCGCAUAAAUCGGGUAUUCUCUCCCUUCUCUUCCAAGACUUUUCAACCUAAGCGGUCCAGAAUUGAUUUCAGCUGUGUUAAAAAACUUGACGAUGCAAUUGAAUUGUUACAGAAAAUGAAGAGUAUGCGGCCGAAGCCUCCUGUUCUCGUGUAUAAUAAAGAUUGAGCAGUACUUUUUUGCCCUUUAUGUGUUUGCUGAAUUGCUUAGGAUGGUGUCCCGGUUAAUAAUUACACAAGGGAUAUUGCUGUUAACUGUUGUUGUCUCUUGAAUGAUGUAAACUCUGGUAUUGCUAUAAUGGGAUUCUUUAUUAAGAGUGGUUACGAACCAAAUGUUGUGACUAUCACCACUCUUAGUAAAGGGUUUUUCUUUGCCGAGAAAGAGGCCGAAUUUGUGAAAUUGUUGGAAAAGGUUUUAGAUUUAAAACUUUGCGAGUCAGAUGGUGUUGGGUGAAGCUAGGGGUGGGGCAGGGGGGUCACUGCGCCCCCUGGGUUUUUCAAAAAUAGUAGGGGUAUUUUCGUAAUUUUAUACUAAAAAUAAAAAAUAUAUAAUUUUAUCUACAUUAUUAUCAUAUUGAGCUAAUUUAUAUUGUAAUUGAUAAAUAUUUAGAGUUGAGACGUUUUGAAGAAGUGAACAAAUAAUUAAUUUAUACAUAUCAUGCUUGGAUUGGAUUCUAGAGAUUUUUUUUUUAAUUUGAUGUUGAAAGUUACUUUGCCUUUCAAAUUUAUAUGGGAUUUUGGCAAAUAAAAUCACAAACUAUUUUGAAUUUAUAAUUUUAACGUGACUUUUGAAUGUGGCGAAUUAAAUCACUAUUUUUUCAAUUUUUCUAAUUAGGUCCCCUAAUUUUUUUUCGAUCGUCAGAGUGUUGAAUUGCAGCUUACGUGAAUUAGUAAAGACGACAUCGUUUUUGUGAGGCCUAAACGAUGUCGUUUCGUACAAUUUAAAUUAAAAAUUUCUCCAAAUUAGAAGGAGAUUAUAUCUUGUAUUUGCACCAUAAUUUUCAAUACAUAGUAAUUUUAUUGCAAAAUACACCGUAACAUGAAUAUUACAUGGAGAAAUAAUUCACACAAACUUCAAGUUAACAAUUCGACGAUCGGAAAAAAUUGGGAGGACGAAAUUGUAAAAAUUAAAAAGAUGGGUAAUUUACUUCGCCACACUUCCAAAGUCACAUUAAAAUAAUAAUAAUAAUAAUAAUAAUAAUAAAAAAUAAAAAAUAAAAAUUGGACCCACCCCCCUAAAUCGAAAGUCUGGCUCCGCUAUGCACGUAAUAUCUGGGUUGUGCAAAGCUGGACAGGUCGCUGCAGCCCAUGUCGCUGCAGCCCAUGAUUGGUUUUGCAGAUUAGAAAGUAGUGGCUGGAAUCCCAACAUUAUGUCUUAUACCGCCUUAAUUGAUGGAUACUGCAAGGUGGGGAACCUCGAUGAAGCUUGGCUUCUUUUUGUUGAAGUUGCCGGUAAAGGUUUGAAGCAUGAUGUGCAUACUUAUAAUACCAUGAUACGUGUAUUAUUCAGAAAAGGUAGAUUUGCUGAAGGCUGGAAGCUUUUCAAGAAUAUGGAAGCUCAACAAAUACAUCCCGAUUUGUAUACUUAGGCCGUGUUUGAUAGGGGCCAUAAGCCCUAUAUUACUUAUUUAACUCACUUAAUAUUAUGUUUGAUGCAAUAUUUCAAUUACAAGAGAAGCCCGCAAUUGUGAGAAGGCCCGCAACAAAUAACAACAAAUCUACUGUUUCACUAAGAAAUUUAAUAUCUCCUCCCCCCUGGUAUUAUUUAUCUAGGUAUUAUUUAUCUAAGUUUUAUUUAUCACCCUUUAUCUCAUUUUUAUAUCAAACACACCCUUGAUGUGUUAAUUAAUCGGCAUACAAAUUCGAAAAAAAUACAAAAUAAAAUAACUGAAAAAGGGAGCAGCAUUUCACAUUUUCAGAGCAGGAAUAGAUUACCGGAAACGUGAGAUCUGAUGGAGACCGCGCCACAAGCACUAGUGCACUAACUCUCACGUUAAUUAACGCAGUGCACUCUCCACUUGUAAACCCUAAAUCCCAUUUCAAUUUAUUCAAUCUCUGUCUUCAUUUUGACGUUUCCUGCGUCUUUUCGUUUUGCUUGCUUACUUAACCAAACGAAAUCGAGUNUGGUUUCAUGGAAUUCAAUUCCAAAAUUAUCCCGUAAAGUCUUCGAAAAUCAGUGAAAAUUUGGGUGAAAUUCAAUCACGAAUUCUUUGAAAGUCGUCUGGAAUCUAUGUCAAUUUCAUGGAAUUUAAAUUUCAUGGACUUUUUAAAGUCUGUGGAAAUCCACAACGAAUACACCCCCCUUAGUUUUGAAGUAUUUACUAGCCACAUCUUUGAUGUGUUAAUUAAUCGGCAUACAAAUUCGAAAAAAAUACAAAAUAAAAUAACUGAAAAAGGGAGCAGCAUUUCACAUUUUCAGAGCAGGAAUAGAUUACCGGAAACGUGAGAUCUGAUGGAGACCGCGCCACAAGCACUAGUGCACUAACUCUCACGUUAAUUAACGCAGUGCACUCUCCACUUGUAAACCCUAAAUCCCAUUUCAAUUUAUUCAAUCUCUGUCUUCAUUUUGACGUUUCCUGCGUCUUUUCGUUUUGCUUGUUUACUUAACCAAACGAAAUCGAGUUGUUCUAGCACUACUCCUCGGUGGAAAGGUCGAUCUCUCAAUAACCAUAUUUUAGUAGUAGUUUCAAGAAAUAUUGGAGCAACAAUGGAAGAUGCCUACGCCAGAUCAGCCAGCGAGGUGAAGUAUUUGAUGCUUGAUCAUCUCAGCUAUUUGCAGUACUUGAUUUUGC